GACUGUCAUAUCGAUUUUCGCGCCCGAUGCUAAUCUUUUUUUAAUGGGCGACGAUUACAACUCUGCUCAAUUGGUCGUUGGCAAGUGCUCAACAUUUUAUAUACCACGAAAACCUGUUUACGAAGGGCUUUGAUUAACUAUUUGACGAGUCAACUGCUGUCUCCUGGAGAAUUAACGAUUCAGUGGAUGCCACCAGGAUUGGCAUUACAUCCAUGACAAUGAAGCUGUGACUGCAACCAGGACUACAAACGGUCAGUCGUCUGGUGUGAACGGAGUGUGGGAGUGCCAAUCAACUUGGUGAAUAUCUGCAACUAGUUUACCAUUUCGGUAAGUCGGGAUUUUGCUUGCUUAUUCAUUGGCCCGUCACUCUUCUUCCAUCCUCCGUAAACCCCGUUUAA